AUACGUAGGGGGCGAGCGUUGUCCGGAAUGAUUGGGCGUAAAGGGCGCGUAGGCGGCCCGGUAAGUCUGGAGUGAAAGUCCUGUUUUUAAGAUGGGAAUUGCUUUGGAUACUGUCGGGCUUGAGUGCAGGAGAGGUAAGUGGAAUUCCCAGUGUAGCGGUGAAAUGCGUAGAGAUUGGGAGGAACACCAGUGGCGAAGGCGACUUACUGGACUGUAACUGACGCUGAGGCGCGAAAGUGUGGGGAGCAAACAGGAUUAGAUACCCUGGUAGUCCACACUGUAAACGGUGAAUGCUAGGUGUAGGGGGUAUCGACCCCUUCUGUGCCGCAGUCAACACAAUAAGCAUUCCGCCUGGGGAGUACGGCCGCAAGGUUGAAACUCAAAUGAAUUGGCGGGG
rnacentral:rRNA from 1 species